rnacentral:rRNA from 1 species
UACGUAGGUGGCAAGCGUUGUUCGGAAUUAUUGGGCGUAAAGGGCGCGUAGGCGGUUUGUUAAGUCGGCUGUGAAAGCCCGGGGCUCAACCCCGGAGGGUCAGCCGAUACUGGCAGACUAGAGUACGGAAGAGGUAGCUGGAAUUCCCGGUGUAGCGGUGAAAUGCGUAGAUAUCUGGAGGAAUACCGGAGGCGAAGGCGGUUAACUGGCCCAACAUUGACACUGAGACCCGAAAGCGUGGGGAUCAAACAGG